GAUGAACGCUGGCGGCGUGCCUAAUACAUGCAAGUCGAGCGAACGGACGAGAAGCUUGCUUUUCUGAUGUUAGCUGCGGACGGGUGAGUAACACGUGGAUAACCUAACUAUAAGACUGGGAUAACUUCGUGAAACCGGAGCUAAUACCCGGUGAUAUUUUGAACCUCAUGGUUCAAAAAUGCAAGACGGUAUUGCUAUCACUUAUAGGUUGAACCACGCUGGAUUAUCUAAUUGGUAAGUUAACGGCAUACCAACGCAGCAAUGCAUAGCGGACAUGAGAGGGUGAUCGGCUACACGGGAACUGAGACAGGGUCGAGACUCCUAAGGGAAGCAGCAGUAGAGACUCUUACGCAAUGCGCGAGAGCCUGACGGAGCAACGCCGAGUGAGUGAUGAAGGUCUUCGGAUCGUAAAACUAUGUAAUUAGGGAAGAACAAAUGUGUAAGUAACUGUGCACAUCUUGACGGUACCUAAUCAGAAAGCCACGGCUAACUACGUG
rnacentral:rRNA from 1 species